rnacentral:ncRNA from 5 species
AUGUACCACUCGUACACUCUGGUUCCUGCGCGCCGUCCACGCCCACCUGGCGACCGCUCGCUACAUUUUGUUGGCC